AUACGAUCGCGGAGCUGCGGCUUCGUGAUGAAAGGCGCUUCGGCGCCACCCGGGGAUGAGCCUGCGUCUCAUUAGCUAGUUGGUGGGGUAAUGGCCUACCAAGGCGAUGAUGAGUAGCCGGCCUGAGAGGGUGUACGGCCACACUGGGACUGAGAUACGGCCCAGACUCCUACGGGAGGCAGCAGCUAAGAAUAUUCCGCAAUGGACGAAAGUCUGACGGAGCGACGCCGCGUGGAUGAUGAAGGCCGUGAGGUUGUAAAAUCCUUUUGUCGGGGAAGAAUAAGCGUGGGAGGGAAUGCCCGCGUGAUGACAUGAACCGGCGAAUAAGCCCCGGCUAACUACGUGCCAGCAGCCGCGGUAACACGUAGGGGGCAAGCGUUGUUCGGAAUUACUGGGCGUAAAGGGCAUGUAGGCGGUUCUGUAAGCCUGACGUGAAAGGCUAUGGCUCAACCAUGGCAUUGCGUUGGGAACUGCGGGACUUGAGUCACG
rnacentral:rRNA from 1 species